CCUACGGGUGGCAGCAGUGAGGAAUAUUGGUCAAUGGACGAGAGUCUGAACCAGCCAAGUAGCGUGAAGGAUGACUGCCCCAUGGGUUGUAAACUUCUUUUAUAUGGGAAUAAAAUGUUCCACGUGUGGGUUUUUGUAUGUACCAUAUGAAUAAGGAUCGGCUAACUCCGUGCCAGCAGCCGCGGUAAUACGGAGGAUCCGAGCGUUAUCCGGAUUUAUUGGGUUUAAAGGGAGCGUAGGUGGAUUGUUAAGUCAGUUGUGAAAGUUUGCGGCUCAACCGUAACAUUGCAGUUGAAACUGGCAGUCUUGAGUACAGUAGAGGUGGGCGGAAUGCGUGGUGUAGCGGUGAAAUGCUUAGAUAUCACGAAGAACUCCGAUUGCGAAGGCAGCUCACUGGACGGCAACUGACACUGAGGCUCGAAAGUGUGGGUAUCAAACAGGAUUAGAUACCCCGGUAGUC
rnacentral:rRNA from 1 species